rnacentral:rRNA from 1 species
GACGAACGCUGGCGGCGUGCUUAACACAUGCAAGUCGAACGGAAAGGCCCUGCUUUUGUGGGGUGCUCGAGUGGCGAACGGGUGAGUAACACGUGAGUAACCUGCCCUUGACUUUGGGAUAACUUCAGGAAACUGGGGCUAAUACCGGAUAGGAGCUCCUGCUGCAUGGUGGGGGUUGGAAAGUUUCGGCGGUUGGGGAUGGACUCGCGGCUUAUCAGCUUGUUGGUGGGGUAGUGGCUUACCAAGGCUUUGACGGGUAGCCGGCCUGAGAGGGUGACCGGCAACAUGAGACAUGAGAUGCCCACCAACCAGCAGCGGGAGCAGGUAGGGGGAAAGAGGGAAAGGGGGGCGGACGCCGGAACAAGGCACGGGGGGGGCGGGAGACCGGCCUUCGGGUGGUACACCGCUUCGGCCUGUGGAGAAGCGGAAGUGGGGGGAAUGGAUAAAAAAGCACCUCCUAACUCGGGGCCAGAAGCCGCGUAAUAAUCGAAAAGCACAAGCCAGAAC